rnacentral:rRNA from 2 species
GCGUUGGCCCAAUUGAUUGAUGGUGCUUGCACCUGAUUGAUUUUGGUCGCCAACGAGUGGCGGACGGGUGAGUAACACGUAGGUAACCUGCCCAGAAGCGGGGGACAACAUUUGGAAACAGAUGCUAAUACCGCAUAACAGCGUUGUUCGCAUGAACAACGCUUAAAAGAUGGCUUCUCGCUAUCACUUCUGGAUGGACCUGCGGUGCAUUAGCUUGUUGGUGGGGUAACGGCCUACCAAGGCGAUGAUGCAUAGCCGAGUUGAGAGACUGAUCGGCCACAAUGGGACUGAGACACGGCCCAUACUCCUACGGGAGGCAGCAGUAGGGAAUCUUCCACAAUGGGCGCAAGCCUGAUGGAGCAACACCGCGUGAGUGAAGAAGGGUUUCGGCUCGUAAAGCUCUGUUGUUAAAGAAGAACACGUAUGAGAGUAACUGUUCAUACGUUGACGGUAUUUAACCAGAAAGUCACGGCUAACUACGUGCCAGCAGCCGCGGUAAUACGUAGGUGGCAAGCGUUAUCCGGAUUUAUUGGGCGUAAAGAGAGUGCAGGCGGUUUUCUAAGUCUGAUGUGAAAGCCUUCGGCUUAACCGGAGAAGUGCAUCGGAAACUGGAUAACUUGAGUGCAGAAGAGGGUAGUGGAACUCCAUGUGUAGCGGUGGAAUGCGUAGAUAUAUGGAAGAACACCAGUGGCGAAGGCGGCUACCUGGUCUGCAACUGACGCUGAGACUCGAAAGCAUGGGUAGCGAACAGGAUUAGAUACCCUGGUAGUCCAUGCCGUAAACGAUGAGUGCUAGGUGUUGGAGGGUUUCCGCCCUUCAGUGCCGGAGCUAACGCAUUAAGCACUCCGCCUGGGGAGUACGACCGCAAGGUUGAAACUCAAAGGAAUUGACGGGGGCCCGCACAAGCGGUGGAGCAUGUGGUUUAAUUCGAAGCUACGCGAAGAACCUUACCAGGUCUUGACAUCUUGCGCCAACCCUAGAGAUAGGGCGUUUCCUUCGGGAACGCAAUGACAGGUGGUGCAUGGUCGUCGUCAGCUCGUGUCGUGAGAUGUUGGGUUAAGUCCCGCAACGAGCGCAACCCUUGUUACUAGUUGCCAGCAUUAAGUUGGGCACUCUAGUGAGACUGCCGGUGACAAACCGGAGGAAGGUGGGGACGACGUCAGAUCAUCAUGCCCCUUAUGACCUGGGCUACACACGUGCUACAAUGGACGGUACAACGAGUCGCGAACUCGCGAGGGCAAGCAAAUCUCUUAAAACCGUUCUCAGUUCGGACUGCAGGCUGCAACUCGCCUGCACGAAGUCGGAAUCGCUAGUAAUCGCGGAUCAGCAUGCCGCGGUGAAUACGUUCCCGGGCCUUGUACACACCGCCCGUCACACCAUGAGAGUUUGUAACACCCAAAGUCGGGGGGU